rnacentral:rRNA from 1 species
GGACUACCAGGGUAUCUAAUCCUGUUUGCUCCCCACGCUCUCGCGCACUCAGCGUCAGUGUCGACCCAGAGAGCCGCUUUCGCCGCUGGUGUUCCUCCCGAUAUCUACGAAUUUCACCUCUACACCGGGAAUUCCACCCUCCUCUUUCGCACUCUAGCGUGACAGUUUCAAAUGCAAUUCCUGGGUUAAGCCCAGGGCUUUCACACCUGACUUAUCACACCGCCUACGCGCCCUUUACGCCCAAUGAUUCCGAACAACACUUGCACCCUCUGUAUUACCGCGGCUGCUGGCAC